GGCCCCGUAGAAACAUCGAAAUGCAAGUUCGAAGGAGCACCCUAAGAGGUGCCGGGGCUU
rnacentral:tRNA from 1 species